AAACUAGGUCCCAGUCAGAUUGCAGGCUGCAACCCGCCUGCAUGAAGUCGGAAUUGCUAGUAAUCGCGGAUCAGCAUGCCGCGGUGAAUACGUUCCCGGGCCUUGUACACACCGCCUGUCACACCAUGGGAGCCGGUAAUACCCGAAGUCAGUAGUCCAACCACGUGAGGACGCUGCCGAAGGUAGGAUUGGCGACUGGGGUGAAGUCGUAACAAGGUAUC
rnacentral:rRNA from 1 species